GUCGAGAAUCUUCCGCAAUGGGCGAAAGCCUGACGGAGCGACACCGCGUGCAGGAUGAAGGCCUUCGGGUUGUAAACUGCUGUCAGGUUCUAGGAAUGACAUGGUGUAAAUAGCGCCAUGUUUGACCAAGACCAAAGGAAGCAACGGCUAACUCUGUGCCAGCAGCCGCGGUAAGACAGAGGUUGCAAGCGUUGUUCGGAAUUACUGGGCAUAAAGCGCACGUAGGCGGUCCGCUAAGUCAUGUGUGAAAUCCCCCGGCUCAACCGGGGAAUGGCGCCUGAUACUGGCGGACUCGAGAUCGGUAGGGGUGAGUGGAACUCCAGGUGGAGCGGUGAAAUGCGUAGAUAUCUGGAGGAACACCGGUGGCGAAAGCGACUCACUGGACCGACACUGACGCUGAGGUGCGAAAGCUAGGGUAGCAAACGGGAUUAGAUACCCGGGUAGUCC
rnacentral:rRNA from 1 species